AUUAUUUUGGCAGAUUAGUGCAGUAAAUUUAGAAUUUACGAAUGUGGGUACACAGGUAAUA
rnacentral:tRNA from 1 species